UACGUAGGGCGCAAGCGUUGUCCGGAAUUAUUGGGCGUAAAGAGCUCGUAGGCGGUUUGUCGCGUCUGCUGUGAAAACCUAAGGCUCAACCUUGGGCUUGCAGUGGGUACGGGCAGACUAGAGUGCGGUAGGGGUGACUGGAAUUCCUGGUGUAGCGGUGGAAUGCGCAGAUAUCAGGAGGAACACCGAUGGCGAAGGCAGGUCACUGGCUCGAUACUGACGCUGAGGUGCGAAAGCGUGGGGAGCAAACAGG
rnacentral:rRNA from 1 species